UUUGUUCCGCCGCCGGGUGGGACGAUUCAAACACCGGUUUUUCCGUCAUUAGGCCUUUGAAGACGGAAAGCGCGGUGUUUUUUUAUG
rnacentral:ncRNA from 1 species